rnacentral:rRNA from 1 species
AGCGAACGCUGGCGGCAGGCCUAACACAUGCAAGUCGAGCGCCGUAGCAAUACGGAGCGGCAGACGGGAGAGUAACACGUGGGAACGUACCCUUUGGUUCGGAACAACCCAGGGAAACUUGGGCUAAUACCGGAUAAGCCCUCACGGGGAAAGAUUCAUCGCCGAAGGAUCGGCCCGCGUCUGAUUAGCUAGUUGGUGGGGUAAUGGCCCACCAAGGCGACGAUCAGUAGCUGGUCUGAGAGGAUGAUCAGCCUCACUGGGAAUGAGACACGGCCCAGACUCCUACGGGAGGCAGCAGUGGGGAAUAUUGGACAAUGGGCGCAAGCCUGGUCCAGCCAUGCCGCGUGGGUGAUGAAGGCCCUAGGGUUGUAAAGCCCUUUCGGCGGGGAAGAUAAUGACGGUACCCGCAGAAGAAGCCCCGGCUAACUUCGUGCCAGCCGCCGCAGUAA